CCCUGGGUUGGGAAGAUCCCCUGGAGAGGGGAAUGGCAACCCACUCCAGUAUUCUUGCCUGGAGAAUCCCAUGGACAGAGGAGCCUGUCAGGCUACAGUCCAUGGGGUCGCCAAGAGCUGGGCAGGACUGAAGUGAUGGAGCAU